ACAGCUUAUUCUUAGUUGCUUACAAUUAAUAAUUGGUGCCUAGAUAUUAUGGAUAGGUGAACCAGAAAUCUGCAGAUAAAUAGAUGAAGAGAAAAAAUGUCAAGCUGGGAUAAUGGGAUCCAGGAGUGCUCUGUUCUGUUCAUUGAAGCAGCUUCCUCACCAUGAAUAACCAGGAUUCUGCCUCAAAUAUUUGCCACAGAGGAACAUUUUCUAAGGGCCUGAUUCUACAAACACCUAAAAUCACCGUCAUACAAGAGACUACAGGGGAAGACGGAAAUAAAGAUAGCUGAAAAGUUGCAAUCCACUGAAGUGAAACUCCACACGUGCUCUUGGC